rnacentral:misc_RNA from 1 species
UUUGAAGAUCAUCCAUCUUUUUCUUAUUUCUUCUAAUCUUGCUGGAAUGUUUUGUGUUAAAGGAAAAUGGAGAGAAAUAGAUGAAUUUAAUGGAAAAAAGGGAUAGAAAAUAGUAGGAAAGAAUCUGAAUUCUCAAGAAUCCAGAUUAGAGUAUUUGGUAACCAAGAAAUUAGAGGGAAGUGAGGAAGAUUUAGAAGAAAGAGGGAG